UACGGGGAGAGAGAGAGAGAAGAGUCGAGAAAUCUUCGUAGACGGUCAAUUCCUUAGGACGUUCCAACGAUGAUGGAAUUUGUCCAUCAAUUAUCACACUCAUCAAAUCGUUUCUUUCCCGAUUAAACUCGCGUGUCGAAUUUCGAAUUCAUUUUUCAUAGCCGCAAACGAGAUUCACUGUUUCUUUGGUCCAUAAGGUUGCUGGUGCUAAUUGGUUCGAGAGUACUGGUUUGAGUUCAAUGCGGUGGUGUCAAGGUAUGGUAGGUGCCAUGUGUUAGACGACGCACAGAAGGUAUUCGGUGAAAUUAUCCAAGACAAGGGUUAGUAAUGUUGCCUUGCGGAAUUCAAUUAUGCUUAGCCAGGAACUGUAGGAAUGCGCUCAUCUCAGUUACAGCAUUCGGAUUCCAACAAAUAAGCCUAGUCAAACGUCUCCUUUUACGUAUGAUCAUAUGCGAUUUCGUUUCAUGUUCUGUUUUCAUCCUCAUAUUCCCAUCUGUUAAUGUUUCCUGUUCAGAGUACCUCAUUGCUCCCGCCUUUUACUUCAUUGCCACAGCGACCUUUCUUGUUUCAAUCAGUAGCCUGGAGUUGUUUGUCAAGUUGAGUGAAACAGAGUUGCUCUUCUUUGUUAUUGAAUGCCACGACUCGUUAUCAAACCUUGAGUUAGAUGUGGUCGAUUUUCGAUAAGAUUCAGAUCAAAUAGUAAUGACCACCAAAGCUCCCUCUUCUUCCUGGUUCUUGCUUCUCAUCUAAAUGAAGUUCAUAAGCAAUCUGUGCAUGUUUAAGAAAUUGUGACAUUAUGGUUGAGUAUACGGAAGGGUGUCUUUAAGUCUGUGCAACUUGACAAAGUUUAUUUUUCAGGAGCAAGGCCCAUGUAAGUGGGGCUACAUUCUCGAUUGGCUUCUUUUUAGUGGGUACCAUAGUAUUUCACCUAGAGGCCUGGAACAAUGGCACAUGCUUCCGGUAUCAUUUCCAUUGCCUACUGAACAUGCUGGAUUAAGGGCUAUACCUGCAGUACCUGCAGUACGUGCUCGCCAUAUGGUCUUCUUCGUCGUUCUCAAUUGCCAGAAAUCAGCCGUGGCUGUCGAUCUCCACCGCACCCACCACGGCGCCAAAACUCCUCUUUUCUGCCCCUGUUUUCUGGCCGGGAAGUUUGAAGUAGUUGGUUCUCAUUCAGAACUCCUUUGCAGGCGCUGAUCCUCAUUGCGAACACGUCUAAGGCCUUCAUUCUCCAACAUGCACACUGGCCGAGGCUAGAAAUCCAAUUAACCAACGUAAAAUCCAUUAACUCUGUUUCUGUCGCCUACGAAUGAAACAGAGGCCUUGAGCUCUAUUUGAUGUUUGUGAGAAAAGAAGUUGUGACUGAAGCUCUUUUAAUGUGUUUAAUGUGUGUUAAUAUUGUUGUGAUGAUUUGAAAUUAAGUCGUCGCUUUAUCUGUGUACAAGUUCAUUGAUCGAAAUGUAUAUCACUCGUUUGAUGAAAUGCUUGAACUAAAUAAAUUAGGAUAUGCUUCUAUUCAA